CUGCCUCAGGCGCCCAAGUAGCUGGGACUACAGGCGCCCGUCACCACGCCCGGCUAAUUUUUUGUAUUUUUAGUAGAGACGGGGUUUCACGGUGUUAGCCAGGAUGGUCUGGAUCUCCUGACCUCGUGAUCCGCCUCGGCCUCCCAAACUGCUGGGAUUACAGGCGUGAGCCACCACCCCCGGCCGCAGAAAUAUUUUAAUGCCAUUUUAGAAGAUUCAUAGCCAAGCUAAAUAUUUAAAUUACACAGAUCAUCAAAACAGAAGACUAACAAGGAUAUUUAGGACCUGAACUCAGCUCUGAAUCAAGUGGACCUGAUAGAUAUCCACAAAACUCUCCACCCCACAAACAACAGAAUAUACAUUCUUCUAAUCACCACAUGACACUCAGAAAUUGGUCACACAAUCAGAAGUAAAACACUCUUCAGCAAAUGCAAAAGAACUGAAAUGAUAGCAAACAAUCUCUAAGACCACAGCACAAUCAAAUUAGAACUCAAGAUCUUAAAAAUUCACUCAAAACUACACAACUACAUGGAAAUUGAACAAACUGCUCCUGAAUGACUCCUUGGUUAAUACUGAAAUUAAGGCAGAAAUCAAGAAAUUCCUUGAAACCAAUGAGAACAAAGAGAUAACAUAACAGAAUCUCUGGGGUGCAGCUCAGCAGUAUUAAGAGGAAAAUGUAUAGCCCUAAAUGUCCACAUCAAAAAGCUAAGAUGAUCUCAAAUUAACAGCCUAACGUCACAACUAAAAGAACUAGAAAACCAAGAGCAAACAAACCCUAAAGCUACCAGAAGACCAGAAAUAACCAAAAUCAGAGUGGAACUGAAGAAGAUAGAGACACACAAAAACUCUUCAAAACUUAAAAAAUCCAGGAGCUGUUUUAUAUUUUUGAAAAAAAAAAUUAAUAAAAUAGUUACACCACUAGCUAGACUAACAAAGAAGAAAGGAGAGAAGAAUCAAACAUGCUCAGAAAUGAUAAAGGGAAUUUCACCACUGACCUCACAGAAAUACAAACAACCAUCAGAGAAUACUAUAAAUAUCCAUAUGCACAUAAACUAGAAAAUCUAGAAUAAAUGAAUAAAGUCCUGGACACAUACACCCUCCCAAGACUGAAACAGGAAGGAAUUGUAUCACUGAAUAGACUAAUAAAAUUUUCUAAAAUCAAGGCAGUAACAAAUAGUCUACCAAGCAAAAAUAGCCCAGGACCAGACAGGUUUACAAAUGAAUUAUACCAGAGGUACAAAGAAGAGCUGAUACAAUUUUUACAAAAAUUAUUCCAAAAAAUUGAAAUUUUUUCCUUAAUUCCUUUAUGAAUCCAGCAUCAUUCUGCUAUAAAAACCUGGCAGAUAUAAAACAAAAGAAGAAAACUUCAGGGCAAUAUGCGUGAUGAACAUAAAUGCAAAAAUUCUCAAUAAAAUAUUGGAGAUCUAAGUCCAAAAGCACACCAAAAAGCUUAUACGCCAUGAUCAAGUUGGCUUCAUCCCUGGGAUGCAAGAUUGGUUUAACAUACACAAAUCAAUAAAUGUGAUUCAUCACAUAAACACAAAUAAAGAUGAAAACCACAUGAUUAUUUCAAGAGAUGUAGAAAAGGCCUUUGAUAAAAUUAAACAACUCUUCAUGUUAAAAACUCUCAAUAAACUAGUUAUUGAAGGAAUAUAACUCCGAAUAAUAAGAGCUGUAUAUGACAAACCCAAAACCAAUAACAUACUGAAUGGGCAAAAGCUGGAAGCAUUCCCCCUUGAAAACCAGCACAAACAAGGAUGAUCUCUCUCACUACUCUUAUUCAACAUAAUAUUGGAAUUUCUAGUGAGGGAAUUAGGCAAGAGAAAAAAAUGUAUUCAAAUAGAGAGGAAGUCAAGUUAACUUUAUUUAAAUAUGUCACGAUUCUAUGUCUAGAAAAUUCCAUCAUUUCAGCCCCAAAGCUUCUAAAGCUCAUAAGCAACUUCAGCAAAGUCUCAAGAUAUAAAAAUGUAUGUGCAGAAAUAACUAGCAUUCCUAUACACUAACAACAGGCAAGCAGAGAGCCAAAUCAUGAAUGAACUCUCAUUCACAAUUGUUACAAAAAGAGUAAGAUUCCUAGGAAUACAGCUAACAAGGGAAGUGAAGUACUUUUUCAAGGAAAUUACAAAUCACUGCUCAAGAAAAUCAGAGAAGACACAAACAAAUUUUUAAAAAGCCCACGCUCAAAAAUAGGAAGAAUCAGUAUUGUUAAAAUGUCGUACUGCCUAAAGUAAUUUAUAAUUCAAUGCUAUUCUCAUUAAACUACCAUUGACAAUCUUCACAGAAUUAUAAAAAAAAAACUAUUUUAAAAUUUACAUGGAACCAAAAAGGAGCUUGAAUAUCCAAGAGAGUCCUAAACAAAAAGAACAAAGCCGGAGCUGAAGGCAUCAUGUUAUCCAACUCCAAACUAUACUACAAGGCUACAGUAACCAAAACAGCAUGGUACUGGUACAAGAACAAACAUGUAGGCCAAUGGAAUUGAAUAAGAAAUGCAGAAAUAACACUGCACUUCCACAAUCAUCUGAUCUUCCAAAAACCUGACAAAAACAAGCAAUGGGGAAAGGAUAUCCUGUAUAAUAAAUGGUGCUGAGAGAACUGGUUACCCAUAUGUAGAAAAUUAAAACUGUACCCAUUCUUUACACCUUAUACAAAAAUGAACUCAAGAUGAAGUAAAUAUUUAAAUGUAAAACCCCAAACUACAAAAUCCCCAUAAGAAAAUCUAGGCAAUACCAUUCAGGACAUAGGCACAGGCAAAGAUUUCAUGACAAAAAAAGCCAAAAUUGAUUGCAACAAAAGCAAAAAUUGACAAAUGGGAUGUAAUUAAAUGAGCUUCUGCACAAGAAAAGAAAUUAUUAUCAGAGUGAACUGACAUCCCACAGAAUCAGAGAAAAAUGUUGCAAUCUAUCCAUCUGACAAAGGUUUAAUACCCCGAGUCUACAAGGAACUUAAAUAAAUUUACAAGGAAAAACAACCCCAUUAAAAAGUGGGCAAAGUACAUAAACAGACACACCUCAAAAGAAGACAUUUAUGAAGCCAAUAAACAUAUGAAACAAAGCUCAACAUCACAGAUCGUUAGAGAAAUGCAAAUCAAAACCACAAUGAGAUAGCAUAUCAUGCCAGUCAGAAUGGCAAUUAUUAAAAAGUUGAGAAACAACAGAUGCUGUUGAGGCUUUGGAGAAAAAGGGAUGCUUUUACACUGUUGGUAGGAGUGUAAAUUAGUUCAAACAUUGUGGAAGACAGUGUGGCAAUUCCUCAACGAUCUAAAACCAGAAAUACCAUUUGACCCAGUAAGCCCAUUACUGGGUAUAUACCCAAAGGAAUAUUAUAUUCUAUUAUAAAGAUAUAUGCAUCCAUAUGUUUAUUGAAGCUUUAUUCACAUCAGGAAAGACAUGAUAUCAACCUAAAUGCUCAUCAAUGAUAGACUGGAUAAAAGAAAAUGUGGUAAAUAUACAUCAUGGAAUACUAAGAAGCCAUAAAAACGAAGAAGAUCAUGUCCUUUGCAGGGACAUAGUUGGAGAUGGAAGCCAUUAUCCUCAGCAAACUAACACAGGAGCAGAAAACCAAAUACUGUAUGUUCUGACUUACAAGUAGGAGCGGAAAGAUGAGAACACAUGGACAGAUGAGGGUGAACCACACACACUGGGGCCUGCUGGGGCAGGGCUGGGAGGAGGGAGAGGAUCAGGAAGAAUAGCUAAUGGAUGCUUGCUGUAAUACCUAGGCGAUGGGAUGAUCUGUGCAGCAAACCACCGUGGCACAUGUUUACCUAUGUAUCAAACCUGCACAUCCUGCACAUAUACACUUGAGCUUAUAAUAAAUGUUGAAGAUUAAAAAAAAUUAUGAUUGUUAAAUCAGAGGAAGUAUGUACUUAGGUAUUACAAGUAGUCGUGUUGUCCAGGAUGAAGCAGAGAGACAGAGAAUGAGAGACAGAGAGAGAGAGAAAGAAAUGGAGAAACUAUAUACAUUUGCAUACAAGUCUUAGUGUGGAUAUAGUUUUCAUUUCCCUUAGGUAGAUAUGUAGGAGUAAAAUCCAAGGGUCAUUUGAUGAGCCUUAAUCUUUUAAUAUAUUCAAAAAUCGUUUUAUGUUUAUAGUGACUGCAUUAAUUUUCAAUGUAUGAAGGUUUCAGUUGCUUUACAUUCUCAUUAAUUCUUGAAGUUGUCAAUCUUUUACAAUUUUAGCAGGCAGUAGAUUUGUAGUGGUUUCUUACUGUGUUGUUAAGUUGUAUUUACCUAAUGGAGGCAGUGUUUACAAUAUCUUAGAAGCAUAUUAGCAUUCGUAUAUCUUGUUUUGUAAAAUACCUAUUCAAAUUGCUCAUUUAAAAUUGUAUUAUUUGUCUUACUGCAUUGUGGGAGUUCUUUAUAUAUUUUGAGUAGAUUUUUAUAUCAGAUAUAUGACUUAAAAAUAUUUCUUUGAAACUGGGCAUUCUCUUCAUUUUCUUAAUGGUGUUAUUGGAUGAGCAAAAAAAUUUGAUGUUUAUAUUUUCCUUUAAGUUUUGUUUGUUUUGUGUCCUAUCAAUUCUAUCAAAGAAAUUUUUGCUAACUCUAAGUCACACAUAUUUUUUUCAAAGUUUUUUUUUAGGAGUUUCUUGAUUUUAGCUCUAAUAUGCAAAUCCACUAUCAAUUUGUGAUUAGAUAUGACACUGUAGGAGUGAAGGAUUUUUUUUUCCUAGAUUGGUAUCUUGUAUUUCAACAUCAUUUGCUGGAAAGACUUAACUUUUCCCAGUGAAUUACCUUAGCAGUUUAAUAGCCAUGAAUUGAAACCAUAUAUACAUGUGGGUCAGCAUAUGGAAGCUCGUUUAUAUUUUAUUGAAGUUGUGAAAGGAAAAUAAAUCUUGGGACCCCCUAAUCACUAAGCCAAAGGGAAAAAACAAACUGGGAACUGAAUCAGGCAAAUCUGCUCCCAUUUUAUUUCUAAUAAGAUACCUACAAAGAUAAAAAAGCUGCAUACUUCCCUCACAAUUUGCCUACAGGAAUUUCUUUGCCGGCUACAAGAUCUCUAUCCUAAAACAUUUCUGUUGAAUUUCACCUUGGCAAUGUAUGUUGAUAGCUUGUCUUCACAGGUUCAGGACAAAGGACAGAAUUCAGUCAUCCCCCUGUUCACCAGAGACAAACGCGUAUCUUAUUGCUUCCUCUGUCCUAUUGUUUAUGUGAAAAUGGAGAUUCACUGAACCAGUCUAAGGCAAAAGUGAUUAUUCCUUUACCCCAGAAUCAUGUGGAAAUUGUGUAUUUAGUUAAAGCCUGAUCUAAGACUCAAAAUAAUGCAACUCUUUGUCUCUUAGCUAUCUAUGACCAGGAAGCUCCUCUCCCUUACCCCUCCUUCAAGUUAUUCCACCUUUCCGGAAAGAAGCAAUGUACAUCUUACACAUAUUGAUUGAUGUCUCAUGUCUCUAUAAAAUGUAUAAAACCAAGCUUUACCCCGAUCACCUUGGGCACCUGUCAUCAGAACCUCCUGAGGCUAUGUCAUGGAUGCAUCCUUAACCUUGACAAAAUAAACUUUCUAAAUUUAUUGGGGCCUGUCUCAGAUACUUUUUGGUACACAACUUAUAUGUUUAUGCUUAGGUAAUUAUCAUACUCUCAAG
rnacentral:lncRNA from 1 species